AGUGUGUUGGCAGAAUAGUGCAAUUGAUUUAGGAUCAAUAUAUGGGACAUACCACACACUA
rnacentral:tRNA from 1 species